rnacentral:rRNA from 1 species
UGGGGAAUAUUGGACAAUGGGCGCAAGCCUGAUCCAGCCAUGCCGCGUGAGUGAUGAAGGCCAUAGGGUUGUAAAGCUCUUUCACCGGUGAAGAUAAUGACGGUAACCGGAGAAGAAGCCCCGGCUAACUUCGUGCCAGCAGCCGCGGUAAUACGAAGGGGGCUAGCGUUGUUCGGAUUUACUGGGCGUAAAGCGCACGUAGGCGGACUUUUAAGUCAGGGGUGAAAUCCCGGGGCUCAACCCCGGAACUGCCUUUGAUACUGGAAGUCUUGAGUAUGGUAGAGGUGAGUGGAAUUCCGAGUGUAGAGGUGAAAUUCGUAGAUAUUCGGAGGAACACCAGUGGCGAAGGCGGCUCACUGGACCAUUACUGACGCUGAGGUGCGAAAGCGUGGGGAGCAAACAGG